UGGCACCGUGUCCUUGCUUGCAGACUCCAGAGGUACAGAGAGCCUGCAGGAGGCGGCAGGCCACUGGCCUUGUGGGCAGACCCGUGGCCCGGGUCCAUCUAUCUCCACUCCGCAGCUGUGCUACCCACCGGGACACCUUUGGGGAGGAUUACUCCAGACUCCCAAACACAGCACCCGCUGCCCUGUACAAUCAUCAGGGUUGUGCAGAGGCAAGAUUAGGAAAGACCCGCCCUGCGCGACACCCUCCGGGUGGUACUGGCUAAGGCUGGUAACAUCUCCUCACCCAGGAUCUGGGACUAAGGAAGGGAGGCGGGAUCCAAGCUCCUGGGGUCCAAACCCAAGGAAGGAAAUGGAAAGAUGGAGCCCAGGGCAUGCAUAGCACCUGCUACUGUGUGUCCUGGCAGCUGGCCUGACACACCUCCACACAGCUACCCAAAGAACUCUCCCCACAGACUGCCAAUUAAGCAAGAAAAAGCUGAGUGUACAAACAACUGGAUAUGAAGAAAGACAGAAGUGGCCUGAGGAUUGUAGUUCCAUGGGAGAAUUCCCUGCACUCAAUCCUACCACCAUCAAAACAAAACAGAAUUAAGAAACACCAUUACAGCUCUUCAUGGUUCGCUUCACUCCACCCAGUAGCUGCAUCCCUGGAAACUGUGCCCUUGGGUUUUAUCAACUGGAACAUGUUUGAAAAGCAUGAAGAAGGCAUCCUGAUCAAAGAAAGUCUGCAGUAAGCAAAUAUUGGAAAGUAGCGCUACACAGGCCAUGAGCAACAUGAAAAAUGUUCCUGAAUUGCUUGACUGAAGAUUGUAAACUCAGAAAAGAAUAGCAACCUUUGAAAGAAGACCCAAAAGGAGAAGCAGGAGAAGCUGCGGCGAGUAUUGACAGCCUCAGCACACGCCUGCCGGCGAGAACCGGUGCUGGACCACACGCCUGUCGGUCUCUAGCCGCCCUGGGUGAGGACCUUCAACUCCAGGCAGAACAAGUGAUUUCAUGAACACGAAUGGCUCAGCCCAAGUAGAGGGAAACAAAAGUGGACUUCUGGGUGUGAAGGAAAUGGACUUCCACGUGGCUAGGUUCUAUUUCUCGUUGUUUCCUGGGGAACAGUACUUUUAUUUCUGAUUAUAAAUUUUACAGGCUACACUUAUGCAAACAAGAAUGAAACAGGCUCUGAUGGUCACGAGCCCAACAUCUCUACUCAGAAGUGGAGUGAGGGAGGCUUCUUGAGAAAAUUCUUGGUAUAUAUUUUAAAUUAGGAAACCAAAAACACUUUCAAGAUAUUAAUAUUCUGUAUUUAUAGACUAGCUACAAACUACCCAAAAGCAACUAUUAAAUGUUAUUCAAAGGGAUUUCUUUUGGGGAGAAAGAGACCACCUACCUCAUUGUGUAACCCAGCCCGGGACUGUCCAGUAGCCUGGGUUGGCCUUGAACUUAUCACCUUCAUGCCUCUGCCUCCUAACUGCUGGAAUUACAGGUGUACACCAUUGUGUACAACAAUUCUUCAAAUGCUUUUAUAUUCUAAAUUAUUUUUCUUUUUUACAAUCAAACUUACUAAGGCUUAGCAGAAAUACAUUCUUCUAAUAAUUCAACUGGGUUAAUCAAAUUUGCAACAAUAACCAAGACACAACCCUUGCUUAAUUGAAUAUAACAAGCCACUACCAAGGAACAAUUGUGCUUUGCAGGCCAUGGGAGAACUGUCUCUCAUGGUGGUGACUGAUUGGCAAGGGUUAAGAGCCUCUACCAAAGAGGACAAGAUGUUGUUUUGUAGCACAUGCAGCUACUGUGGUGUAAAUUCUCCUGUGGCGUAAAUCCGAUCCCAACCGGUACAGCCGGCUGUGGAAGCGGGAAGAUAAGCCGUGCCACACCACCAGAAAGUCCACCAGAAAGACAUGAUCCUUUCAAAACCCUGGAGCAGAGGGAAAAGGAAAUGCUGACAACCUGUGCUAAGUGGGGUGUGUUGAGGACAUACUGCUGUGUUUUCAAUAUAAUCUAGUUGUAAGCUAUUGGGUUCAAUAUUUAAUAGUGAUCAUGUUUAAUAAACUGUUUAUAAAAUCAGUUCUUGCAAGCCAGUACUCACCAACAGGCUACUUUGAGGCCUAUUAAUUUAACUUUGUGUGUGUGUGUG